ACAAGAGUAGUAGAGCACAGGCAGGGUUACAGAGCUGGAAAGGCAGACGGGGAACCCAGGGGCUCACUGGCCAGCCCACGUGGCUAAAUGGAGAUCUGAGUAAAGAGACUGCACAGCUCCUAGGCGGGACCAUCGUAAUCUCUGGCGUCCAUAUCCAUCCACCCACCCACCUCCCUGAUGCAGCAAGAAUGUGAGUCAGGGACAUGCCUGAAGACCUGGGACCGUUCACUCUGCUAUGCAACCAAAUGCAUAAUGCAACCCGCUUCCCAGCUUGUUCAGAGCACUUUCAAGUGACAGAGAAAAUGAUCCCUUUGAGUUUUUCUCAAACCCGUGCUGCUGGCGGCAGUUUAUCUGGUAAAACACCUAAUCAGAGGAGAAAAUGAAUGAGGCUUCCCGCCCGAUGAGCAAGCAAGCGAGUGUCUCCGGUCCGUGCUCCCAGAUCGACUUUCACAUUCAAUUCGUACCUAGUGCUGAUGUUGAUACUGAUGUUAAGAAAUAAUUUCUUUAAAAACUAUUUGCUUCCUUUUUUCUCCCCCACUUGGAAUGCCUAGUCCAGCUUUGCGUAAAAAAGAAUGAUAGGAAGAAGGUAUUGAAACCGGAAGCUUCUAUAUUCAAAUUAUUAUCUUGGUAUAUACUAGCUACUGCCAUGACCUCCAGCUAUGCUUUUAGCCUUAGCCUCUGAGCCCCGCAGUGAGACUGCUAAUACUAGACAGGAUGAUGACACAAAUCCAUAGGACUGUGGAAAGGACUAAUAAGAAACCACCUGCCAAAAAGCCCAGUGUCAUUCCUGACACAUAGUCGUCAAGUGGUUCUCAUUAUUGUUAAUAAUUCUAGCUAAUGUAAGGAGACGCAUGCCUUCAUAGCCCUCUGCAAGUAUCCCCGUGAUCUCUAUAUGAGUUUGUUUGCACCAGUCAGGAGAGUCAAGGUUAUGCUGCCGUAACAAAGAGUCCCAACAGAGUCCUUGUUCAUACUGCAUGUCCAUUAUAACUUGUCUCAUUUUUUUUUUUUUGGACCCAGGGUAAUGGAGCAGCUAGUGUCUAGGACAUCGCAGAUUGUCGUGAUCCAGAGAAAGCUGAUGUAUCAGCAUUAAGUGAUUGGUUUAGAAACUCAUACUCCCAUUCAAAACUCCUUGGGCAGAGUUGGCUAUACAUACUUGUGUGACUACAAGUGUGUGUAUUGGCGCAUGUGCACACAUGGAGACCAGAGGGGAACACCGGGUGCCUGUCUCAGAUGGGCCUGAACCCCAAAAGCCCAGGGACCUAUUUUCCCCCCUCCAGCACAGCAGCUGGUCCUGAUGGAAGCAGGGCACCGGAUUGUCCACACUGAUGGGGAAGCGUCACAGAACCCGUGUUUUCCGGGCCCUUCAGCGCACACAACAGCCUCUCCCGCUCCGUUGGAUGCCAGAACCUAGUCAAUUCUUUCUGGUGUGUUUUCAAUUUAGAGCCUCCCCCUUCUUCCUGGCCACGGCCCCUCACAGAUCCUCGGGCUGUGUACCUCUCCUGUUACUGCUGACGUCUGCAGCUGCUCCUCCGCGGGUGCGGGUUUCCAGGUCCCCAGGCCUGCUGAGGCGUAGUUCCAACUGAGGUCGAGUGUGCCGACAGUGCCACCUGCUGUCCUUACUCAAGCUGUGCAGGCUUCCAUUGUCCCAGAUCCCACACAGCUUUGGCCAGAGGAUUCAGCGAGGUCUCUGUACUGUCCGGUAACCCCGUGGCUAGCUCACUUUUCUUCCAGACCUCUGCCGGUCGUGCUUACAUUCUGGAUUUCUCUCUGGCCACGGGUCUUUUGGGAUGCAGCCUGCUGCGCAGAGCACCUCCGGCUCGCUCUCCUUCAGGUCUCUGUCCCUUUGUCAAUCUUCAGGGUGAGGCUCCAGCAUCACUCCCGAGGGCGCUGUCAGCUGUCUUUGGCUCUUUGGAUGAAGUGCAAUCCUGGAGGCUCUGGAAGAAGGACCAAAAGCAUUUUCAAGGGACAAAUGAUGCCUUCCUAUUGGCGGCUCGCUCUGUGACCUUUCUGAGAGAGAUGCAAACUUGCUCAGCAUGAUGGUUGACCUUUUAGUGAGAGUUCUCUAGUUUUCUUUUGUCUUAAUCCGUUGCUGUAGAUGGUCCAGAGAGGAAUCCUCUCCUUUAUUCUCUCUUUGCCAAGGACAGCUCCCAGCUUCUUUGUAUCCAGGAAAAUGUCGUUCUUCUAGUCACAGAAGGCCUGACCCCAGCAUCCUUCAGUAGCUCAGGGAACAGAAACUAGAUUGGAAUCCAGGCUGUUACCUCAGUGUGGGGUCACCUAAAUGCCCUGUGCCUUGAGUCCUCAUUUGCCAGAUUAGACAGCGGCCACUUCCUUUCAAGGUCGUGUGGAGGACAGUUGGAAGGGAAGCAUCAUUCCCUCUUUUGGCCCUGGAUCACCGAGCAUCUGAGGAUCUGGCUAGCUGACGGUCAGCCAGCUGUGCACUCUAGCAUCCAAGAGACAAGAGACACGGAAAGGGAAACUGAAAUCGGACAGGAGGAAGUGGCUAUGCCCUGAGCGUGAGCCCCACCCUGGGCUGCAAGUCCAGCCUCACCCCGGUCUCCAGAUUCCAGUAGUGCUGGGGACCUGCUCCGAGCUCUAGCAUGAUAUAUAAGCUACAUAUUUUCCUUUGGUACUGGCACCACCUCCCUGUGACCUUAGUUCUUUCUCUAUUCUAGUCUCAUCUCCUACAGACUCCAGGCCCCACCUCAGCCAGCUCUAAGUCAGGACACAAAGUGUAACAGUUACUCCGGAAUAUGGCCUGAUGGUUGUUUCGUUUAAUCUGGAUUUUCUUUUAUCCUGAAACCUCUAAUACAACAUUGUCAUAGGGAGGGGGCUGGAGAGAUGACUCAGCAGUUCAAAGCACUGGCUAGUCUUCCAGAGGACCCGGGUUCAAUUCCCAGUCUCCAUGCAGCAGCCCACACCUGCCCACAGCUCCAGUUCCGAGGGAAUCUGACACCCACACCCACACGUACACGCAGGCAAAACACCAGUGCACAUAAAAAUAAAUAAAAUUUAAAAAUUAAAAAAAGAAAGAUUGCCAUCGGGGACCGCCCAGCGCAGUUAAGUUUUGAGACAUCUCUGGGGUGAGUUUUCACACAGACAUCUGUGUAGACCCAGUGCCUUUCCUUCUCUGUUCUCUUGCUUUUCAAGGAUUCAGUGGUUCAGUGACUCGGGAUCAGCUGUGAUCUGAAAAUUAUUAAAUGAAAAAUCCCAGAAAUGACAUGACUCUGAAGGAUUCCUUAAAAUUUAUUUAUUUUUAUUUAUUUAUUUAUUUUUUUAAAAGAUUUAUUUAUUAUUAUAUGUAAGUACACUGUAGCUGUCUUCAGACACACCAGAAGGGGGCAUCAGAGAUCAUUACGGGUGGUUGUGAGUCACCAUGUGGUUGCUGGGAUUUGAACUCAGGACCUUUGGAAGAGCAGUCGGUGCUCUUAACUGCUGAGCCAUCUCUCCAGCCCCUAAAAUUUAUUUUUUUAAAUACUUAUUUAUAUAUUAUGUGAGUGGGAGUUUUGUCUGCGUGUGUGCAUUUGUACAUUAGGUGCAUGCCUGGUGCCCACAGAGGCCGGAAGAAGGCACCCGAUCCCAUGGAACUGAAGUUACAGGCGGUUGUGAGCUACCGUGUGGAUGCUGGAAACUGAACCCAAAUCCUUUGUAUGAACGACUAGUGAUGGGUUUUGUUUCUUGUUUUUGGUUUUUCGAGACAGGGUUUCUCUGUGUAGCCCUGGCUGUCCUGGAACUCACUCUGUAGCCCAGACUGGCCUCGAGCUCAGAAAUCCACCUGCCUCUGCCUCCCAAGUGCUGGGAUUAA
rnacentral:lncRNA from 1 species